rnacentral:rRNA from 1 species
AACGCUAGCUACAGGCUUAACACAUGCAAGUCGAGGGGCAGCAUGGUCUUAGCUUGCUAAGACUGAUGGCGACCGGCGCACGGGUGAGUAACACGUAUCCAACCUGCCGUCUACUCUCGGACAGCCUUCUGAAAGGAAGAUUAAUACAAGAUGGCAUCAUGAGUCCGCAUGUUCACAUGAUUAAAGGUAUUCCGGUAGACGAUGGGGAUGCGUUCCAUUAGAUAGUAGGCGGGGUAACGGCCCACCUAGUCUUCGAUGGAUAGGGGUUCUGAGAGGAAGGUCCCCCACAUUGGAACUGAGACACGGUCCAAACUCCUACGGGAGGCAGCAGUGAGGAAUAUUGGUCAAUGGGCGAGAGCCUGAACCAGCCAAGUAGCGUGAAGGAUGACUGCCCUAUGGGUUGUAAACUUCUUUUAUAAAGGAAUAAAGUCGGGUAUGCAUACCCGUUUGCAUGUACUUUAUGAAUAAGGAUCGGCUAACUCCGUGCCAGCAGCCGCGGUAAUACGGAGGAUCCGAGCGUUAUCCGGAUUUAUUGGGUUUAAAGGGAGCGUAGAUGGAUGUUUAAGUCAGUUGUGAAAGUUUGCGGCUCAACCGUAAAAUUGCAGUUGAUACUGGAUAUCUUGAGUGCAGUUGAGGCAGGCGGAAUUCGUGGUGUAGCGGUGAAAUGCUUAGAUAUCACGAAGAACUCCGAUUGCGAAGGCAGCCUGCUAAGCUGCAACUGACAUUGAGGCUCGAAAGUGUGGGUAUCAAACAGGAUUAGAUACCCUGGUAGUCCACACGGUAAACGAUGAAUACUCGCUGUUUGCGAUAUACUGCAAGCGGCCAAGCGAAAGCGUUAAGUAUUCCACCUGGGGAGUACGCCGGCAACGGUGAAACUCAAAGGAAUUGACGGGGGCCCGCACAAGCGGAGGAACAUGUGGUUUAAUUCGAUGAUACGCGAGGAACCUUACCCGGGCUUAAAUUGCAGAUGAAUUACGGUGAAAGCCGUAAGCCGCAAGGCAUCUGUGAAGGUGCUGCAUGGUUGUCGUCAGCUCGUGCCGUGAGGUGUCGGCUUAAGUGCCAUAACGAGCGCAACCCUUGUUGUCAGUUACUAACAGGUUCCGCUGAGGACUCUGGCAAGACUGCCAUCGUAAGAUGUGAGGAAGGUGGGGAUGACGUCAAAUCAGCACGGCCCUUACGUCCGGGGCUACACACGUGUUACAAUGGGGGGUACAGAGGGCCGCUACCACGCGAGUGGAUGCCAAUCCCCAAAACCUCUCUCAGUUCGGACUGGAGUCUGCAACCCGACUCCACGAAGCUGGAUUCGCUAGUAAUCGCGCAUCAGCCACGGCGCGGUGAAUACGUUCCCGGGCCUUGUACACACCGCCCGUCAAGCCAUGGGAGCCGGGGGUACCUGAAGUGCGUAACCGCGAGGAGCGCCCUAGGGUAAAACUGGUGACUGG